CAUAUACUCCCUCCGUUCGGAAUUACUUGUCUCGAAAAUGGAUGUAUCUAGAACUAAAAUAUGUCUAGAUACAUCCAUUUCUGCGACAAGUAAUUCCGAACGGAGAGAGUACGUC
rnacentral:pre_miRNA from 1 species